AUACUGGAUUCUCGGGGGUAUUUGUUUUUGGAAGUGUUCUUCAUUGCCUGUGUUUCUUGUCACUUUUAUCUGUGGUCUUACUCUAUUUGGUGAAUCGUGCCCAGGUGGGAACCUAAAUUAUUCUGCAAGACAAAGGGAAGAAAUAAAAUUUUCCCAUACUGAUGAGAAGUUAAAAUGAAUGUGUCAUGAGAAUGGGCUUAACACAUCGUUGGUUUGAAAACUUCCAUUUUUAAAAAUUUAGAGUUUAGUCAUUAGAAAAAAUAAUGGACUGGAAAGUUAUAUUUAUAUCCAAAUAUACCUAUUUCAAAGUGUAUUUGUGAGGCCUGUUUUAGCCUGUGUCUUUUGUAUUGUGUGUUGCUAAAGAAUUCUACUUUUAGUAGGCUAAUCAACAAUGAAAGGGUUAGAAAAUUGCUGUGGAACAUCCAGGUGAACUUCAGGAAAGACAGUGAAAAAUGGAAAACGUUGGAGCUUCUGUUGAGAUAAUCUUCAUUAGGUAUAUAUCUUAGGGAUACAGCCUUUUCUUUAUCUUAUAGCAGGAAAAAAAAACUUUUGAGGGAAAUAGAAGGGCUGCGUUACACAAAAUAAACAAUGGCAUUGUCAUAGGCCUUCCUUUUACUAGUAGGGCAUAAUGCUAGGGAAUAUGUGAAGAUGUUUUUAUGAAGUCUCUUUCUGAUCACGAACAAUAGCUUGCGCUCUACUCUGUAGUUAUGUGGAUUGCCGAGCAAUGACCCUUUUCAAUUUCUUAUUUCUGUGUUACUGAGGACCCUAAUCACUUAGGGAUGUAAUUUUAUAGUAUAAACUUUCUGUACAGUUUUUCUUAUAGUCUAAUAAGUAAAAAGUGUCCUUCAAAUUAUGAUAAUUGCCUAUGUACAUGGAUAAAUUAAAACACUGCACACGGAGUA
rnacentral:lncRNA from 1 species